GGAAAAGUCCUACAAUGCAUGUAAUGAUACUGAUAAUGAUAUAUUAUAAAGAAAAAUAUUAGUAUUAGUAUCAAUUUAAAAAGGACAAAGUGGUAUAUUCAAAUUCUAUAAAUAGAUGUUAUUGUUAUCAUUUUAGUAUCGUAAAUUACUUGCAUUACUAUUCAAUCAUUCUCGAACAUUCUUGAAAUCUCUUUUCCCUAGCGAAAACAAACAAGAUGGCCCUAAGGAGCUGUGGAUGUGGUGAAAACUGCAGCUGUGGUGACGGCUGCAACUGCAACAGGAUGAACUCAAGAGCUGAGUGUGGCUGUGGAGAUGACUGCAGCUGUGACCCAUGCACUUGUGAUUAAACACACACUCACAUGAACCGUAUAUUAUGAAUAUGUGUGGCUUAUUUAUUUAAUAUGAUUGUAUUGAGAAUCGAAUAAAUUAUGGGACAUGGCAUCUUCAGAUUUGGUAAGUUGUACUUCUAAAUCUGUCGAUGCUGUGGUCCGAGUGCUGGGUUUGUUAUUGUGUGAUAUUAUGAUUGUUGAAUGAAACAAACAUUUUAAUUACCGUGUAACGUUAAAUAUUGCAUUGGCAUCGCUUUCUGAAACUUCUCAAGUCUAGGCAACUAGUCUUGUGGAUGUUUCAUUUGAUGUCUAUGAUUGUACUACUAUAAUGUUGUGAUGAAGUUUUAUUUUAUCUUGUAACUUU